AUUGAACGCUGGCGGCAUGCCUUACACAUGCAAGUCGAACGGCAGCAUGAUCUAGCUUGCUAGAUUGAUGGCGAGUGGCGAACGGGUGAGUAAUACAUCGGAACGUGCCCUGUAGUGGGGGAUAACUAGUCGAAAGAUUAGCUAAUACCGCAUACGACCUGAGGGUGAAAGUGGGGGACCGCAAGGCCUCAUGCUAUAGGAGCGGCCGAUGUCUGAUUAGCUAGUUGGUGAGGUAAAGGCUCACCAAGGCGACGAUCAGUAGCUGGUCUGAGAGGACGAUCAGCCACACUGGGACUGAGACACGGCCCAGACUCCUACGGGAGGCAGCAGUGGGGAAUUUUGGACAAUGGGCGAAAGCCUGAUCCAGCAAUGCCGGGUGUGUGAAGAAGGCCUUCGGGUUGUAAAGCACUUUUGUCCGGAAAGAAAUGGCUCUGGUUAAUACCUGGGGUCGAUGACGGUACCGGAAGAAUAAGGACCGGCUAACUACGUG
rnacentral:rRNA from 1 species